AAAUGAUGUUUUUAACCCUCACUUUUAUCUUUCACCUUCACUAGACUCUUUUAACCACUUGACUUCUCUCCAUUCUCCUGGAGAUUUCAAGCUUUUAGUCUCACUACCCAACAAUAUCCUUUGCUGGGUCCUUUUUACCUUUCACACUCACUAAUGUUCCUGACGUGCACCUUUUCCCUGCCUAUAAUACUCGAAAGAGCGGUUUGCAGUAUACAGAGGUAGAUAGAUAGCAUUUACUAUAUAAAUCAAUUUACGGAACUUGUCAUUUACCGAAACCUCCAUAACCCCACUGGGAUACUUUUUAUAUAGACACCAAACGCAAAGCCUAUCCCAAGGCAAUGCCCCAUUUGCGUGGUAAAGAGCAAGACGACUAUGUACCUCCAGGUAGCAGACCACGUUCGCUGGGUGCAAGCACUGACGGCAGACCCCAUGAAGCCGUUAAUGUCCGAGGCACGUGCUAAGACCGGGCGGAAAGUGAAGAAGACAAAGCCGAGGAAUUACUACUCUUGCUGGCUGUGCGACCGGUCGGUGAUUGACCGGCUGCGUCAUCUAGAACAGGAGCACAAAAUGGAGGCUGGGACAUUCAAUUUCGUUUACACAAGAGGGCCGUUUCCGGAAGGUCACAAAAACUUAAGGAAAGGUGACCAGCAGACUCGCCACUCAUGAUGACUCGGCAUAGGAGGAUGAGAAGGUGGAGGAUGAGGAGGAGGAGGAAGAGGACUUUUCGUUCCUAACGCGGAAAUACUGCCUGAGCCUGGAACCCAAUGCAAGGGUGAUGCAUGGUCGGAGAAGCUGCAAGUAACAAUAUGGAUUGCUUAUAUAGUGUAAAGUCUCGAGUCCGUUUACGGGGUAGAACCAGUACUUGGUGCAUUAAGCCCUGUUUUCCCAGAUUUUUUUAAAUUAUAUACAUUUCAAUUGAUAGUCAUUAUUAUUGCAACAUGUAUAUAUCUUAAAAACCGUGAGGAAAUAUAUAUAAGUACAUUAAAAUUUAAGAUAAAUAUUAUUUAUUUAUAAUACUUUGGAAUUACUGGUUGUGAGUUAAUUAUAUGCGAUUUCACCAUCUAGCAUAGAAUAUCAUCCAAUAAUACUUGUUGCAGUUUCAAUCGUUGACUCAUAUGUAGGCUACAUGUUCCUGCUGAGCAGGCCAGGUGGGUUGACAAACGAGUCGAAAACACAAGAGGUCAACAUGAAGAUCAACCGGUUCCUGGCCCUGUCUGGCUACUUGGAAGGAGUGGUGUUGAGUGACGUGCUGUUGUGGAAGGGCCAUAUGGAGGUCCACGACAGUUCCUUAACACCACUCACCAGCUGAAGACGGUGCAGACUGCACUAACGGCAAUCAAGAACUUCCUGAAGUGGUGCGAGGGAACGGUCUAGCGGACGCCCGCGCAUUGAACAAUUCCGAUCUCCUUCUCACAGGCUGCCUGACCUCAACCCGCCUGGAUAUGAGCCGUCGCGAGGUUAUUCGGAGGGUAGAGGACAGUGCCGCCAUCCUGACGGACGCAAACCUGGAGCGCCACUUCACUGAGAGUGAGCAUGUAGUGAAAACGAUCAAGGUGAUCCAGGAGCCCCCAGCUGGCACACCUGAAAGAUAUUCGGGGAAUAAUUAUUAAACUGAUAGCGCUCUAUAACGCCUCCUGAACCGGCAGGUAGGAGUACCUAAAGAUUGAGCUGGAGACAGUGAAGGUGCUGACCUCUGUGUGGAACACUUAGCAGCUGGCAAGUUUUAAUAUUGAAGGGCAUGGUUCCCAACCGCCCAUCACACACAGAAUGUAGCUUGUCGUCUUCUGCAGUAAAAACUGGGUGCUGGAAGAUGCUUUCUGCUAUAUUGACUGCUUCCAAGCGCUUCCUGACCUAAAAAUUAUCUCCCAGCA